UGCUGCUGUAUCAACAUCAAUUGAUUCAACAGAAGCCUCUAUCUCCUGAGAAUGAGAGGACUGAAGACCUUACAGUGGUGCAAGAAAGUUUCACUCCAAGGGGAAUUGGUUCUCUGCCUAGGAUGUUCAGUGGAAUCAUCUGGAGAGGAUUUCCUUGAACAUCAGACACGGGUGUUGACUGAAGCACCGCCCUUCGAGGACUCAUGCCAGCUCACAGUGUCUAUCCACAAGGCCAGGUAACAGGAGCCUCUUCUCUUUCCACUGCAAAGGAUGUGCCUUCGGAUCAUCUGAAUCAUAAAAAAGAGUCAGAGAGUUCCAGGCACAGACAGAGCUUUUCUCUAAGCUCUCAGCGUGUAACUACUCUACCAAGUUGUUUAACCAUCUCAAUCCAAGAAGAGGAUACAAUCUUUGUAUAAUAGGAGUCCCCAUUCCUCUUUUUCUCUUCAUUGAGAAAAUCCUUAUGUUAAACUGAACCCAUAAUCUGGGUCUUUGACACCCAAGGACAUACUCAGAAUUUAUUUAAUGACUAUGUGAGGUGUUGAGCAAUCAGGUUUAGUCAAUUAGAACAACAACCCACACUGAGAGUAAUAGUCAAGGCUUUAUUCACUUACUGUAAUAGUGCAAGCAAGAGAAGUGCUGGCUUCCUAGGGUUCCAUUUUCAUCAUGGAACAGCAUUGAAAAAUAAAAAUGAAAUCCUAAGCCCCCCAACUGAUGGAACAGACCUCUCCUUGGCCAAGGAGACCCCAGAGAAACCUUGAGCCUGAGUUCCCAACAGUGAUGGGAUGGAAGGGCAGACACACCUCGUUAUGCACCUUCCCUCCCUCACUGACUGCCACUGGGCUUUCCUCCACAAGGGCUUAACAGAAACCAGCCCUUUCAAAGACCCCACCAUGGAUAUCCACCAACAGCCCGACACUGCCCCUCCUUUUUUGCCUGAUAAGUGACCACUGACCCGUGGUUCUGGCCAGUCUACGGAAAUGCACCGUGAGGGUUUUUGUGUCCUCUGUCACACCUUUGGACAUCAGAGGGCUGAAAACUCCACCCUCAGAUGAUACUAAUGCUGACAUUGUUUGAACGUGAGUCCCAUGGAGAGGCAUGAAGCUCCAUUGCACAUGCACAUAUUUUUUCUUUCAUAAAUAUCCAUGACUCCUCCUUGAAUAUGUAUAUUUGACCACCCUGCUCAGCAUGAAUUCCUGUUCCCUUUGCCUCUCCCUCAAAGUGUCUGUUUCUGGCUUCUGGCCAGAGGCUAUGCUUCCCAG
rnacentral:lncRNA from 1 species